ACGAGAUGGACGUUUGUUCUGAUACCGAUAUACGAGUCUUUUCGUGUACUCGAUAUGCAAAUAUCGUUGUUUAUGAUCACUUGAGUGAAGCACAGACGACAAACCUUGCUUCACAUUACGUAACAGUCAUCUAGACUGUCAGGACCGGUACCAACUAUACGCCAUCAGGACCGACUGAUCCAAUAUCAGGAAUGCAGGUCUAGUUACAGAUGUUUAGCAGCAAACCACACUGGGACAAGAGACACGAAAGCUUAAUACUACCGUCAGUGACCUGAGUGAAAUCACAAGACCAGUCACAGUGUCGUCCUUGACGAAUCUUUUCCAAGAUGACUCAUUCUGAGUUCCAAAAGUUACUUCCCUUCGUAACUACCGGAUGGUAUAGUGAUAAGCUGGAGAGCCGAGCGGUGUGAGAAUGAGAAGACUUAGCACUUUGGAAAAAAAACGGGACAUUUUAACAUAUAAGUAGUAUUGUAACUAUAUUGUGUAUGAAGUUAGCAUGUCAUUGUAUAUUGUGAACAAGAGGUAUUUGCUUUAAUGAUACAAUAAUAAUAAUAAAAAAAAAACCAACGAUGCCACAAUUUAAUUUUAUACUGUUGUUCA